rnacentral:rRNA from 1 species
UCUAGGGCUACACACGUCCUACAAUGGGGUCGACAGUGGGAUGCAAAGCCGCGAGGUGGAGCCAAUCCCCAAACGGCCUCUCAGUUCGGAUAGUAGUCUGCAACUCGACUACUUGAAGUCGGAAUCGCUAGUAAUGGCGGAUCAGCAUGCCGCCGUGAAUACCGGUUCCCGGGUCUU